rnacentral:lncRNA from 1 species
CUUCUUCGUUCCCAUUCCCCUGCCUUCUUUCUGGUUUUUUUAAUUUAUUUUAUUUAAAGUAAAAGAAAAGAAACCAACCUUGUAAUACGAAAGACAACGCUCUAUCCUUUAAUUUUGGUGGGUUCCUCUUUCAGCUUCCUCCAAUCCAUCUUCCUUUCUUUUUUAGCAAAAGCAAAAUAGUGUUGCUGAUUUCAAAAACAAAAAAAAGCACAAAUCUCCCUUUUUCUAUUAGAUCAAAGCCUCCAUUCAAAAAGUGUUAGGAGCGAAUGUUGCUCCUCUCCACACUACGGUGCUUGUGAGCUAACUUUUGAGGUGUCGACGCGAGCGAGAGUUUUCACCGUAUUUGAUUGCGGUAGCGAAAAUGGUUGAGAAAGCGAUAAUGAAAGUAAUGGCUCCUUCCAAAUUUUUAGUUUGCAUAUAGAGGCUCUAUAUAUGUGAUUGAUGUAUGAUUAAUAUGUGAUUGCGUGAUAAUUAAUUUCGACAUGAAUAUAUAUAAUUUGAGUGAAAUUUUUGAGUUCUUAACAAAUCCUUGUUGUUGUGUUGUUGUGGUGGUUGUUGUUGUAGUUAUUGUUGUUGUUGUUGAUUUUGUUAGUAA